GAAGCCCGCCAGACCACCGCUGGUGCAAUUCUGGAAACAGAGCACUGGAGGAAAGUCCGGACUGCAUCGGGCAGCGUAGCAGCUAACGGCUGCCCACCGACAAGCUGAAAGGCCCUAAGGUGAGGAUCAGAGCAACAGAGACGAGCCGCUUCAGUGCGGGUGAAACGGGCAAUCUCUACGCGCAGCAACACCAAGUAGGCACACGUUGACGGGGCCCCCGGAGUGUGCGGGUAGGUGGCAUCGAGCCGAUCAGGCGACUGGCGGCCCAGAUUAAUGGUGGUCACAUGCGGGGAAACCCGCAUGCACAGAAUCCGGCUUAUCGGUGGGCUUCACAC
rnacentral:RNase_P_RNA from 1 species